rnacentral:lncRNA from 1 species
GAUUCAGGGUAUGAUAGAAUGAUGAUAUCAGAGUUUAAAUUAAAGAUCAUAAGAACUUAGAUUAGUGAGAAUGGGGUAGAAUUAGGAUCUUACUUGAUUAUCUCAAAAUAAUUAUGGGCAUCUAGAGUUGAUUUAAUUAUUAUAUAAUGUUUAAGUUUUUCUUAUGGAUAUAAAUUAUAAUCCUUUGGGUUAUAGUAUAGAAGAUC